AGUUUGAUCCUGGCUCAGGAUGAACGCUAGCUACAGGCUUAACACAUGCAAGUCGAGGGGAAACGACAUUGGAAGCUUGCUUCCGAUGGGCGUCGACCGGCGCACGGGUGAGUAACGCGUAUCCAACCUGCCCACCACUUGGGAAUAACCUUGCGAAAGUAAGACUAAUGCCCAAUGACGUUGAAAGAAGACAUCUGAUUUCAACUAAAGAUUCAUCGGUGAUGGAUGGGGAUGCGUCCGAUUAGCUUGUUGGCGGGGUAACGGCCCACCAAGGCAACGAUCGGUAGGGGUUCUGAGAGGAAGGUCCCCCACAUUGGAACUGAGACACGGUCCAAACUCCUACGGGAGGCAGCAGUGAGGAAUAUUGGUCAAUGGGCGAGAGCCUGAACCAGCCAAGUAGCGUGCAGGAUGACGGCCCUAUGGGUUGUAAACUGCUUUUAUAAGGGAAUAAAGUGGGGCUCGUGAGCUCCUUUGCAUGUACCUUAUGAAUAAGGACCGGCUAAUUCCGUGCCAGCAGCCGCGGUAAUACGGAAGGUCCGGGCGUUAUCCGGAUUUAUUGGGUUUAAAGGGAGCGUAGGCCGCAGGUUAAGCGUGUUGUGAAAUGUAGGGGCUCAACCUCUGCACUGCAGCGCGAACUGGCUUGCUUGAGUACGCACAACGUGGGCGGAAUUCGUGGUGUAGCGGUGAAAUGCUUAGAUAUCACGAAGAACUCCGAUUGCGAAGGCAGCUCACGGGAGCGCAACUGACGCUGAAGCUCGAAAGUGCGGGUAUCGAACAGGAUUAGAUACCCUGGUAGUCCGCACGGUAAACGAUGGAUGCCCGCUGUUGGCUUGAAUUAGUCAGCGGCCAAGCGAAAGCAUUAAGCAUCCCACCUGGGGAGUACGCCGGCAACGGUGAAACUCAAAGGAAUUGACGGAAGG
rnacentral:rRNA from 1 species